UCGGGAAUUUUGGGCAAUGGGCGAAAGCCUGACCCAGCAACGCCGCGUGAAGGAUGAAGUAUUUCGGUAUGUAAACUUCGUAAGAAUAGGAAGAAUAAAUGACGGUACUAUUUGUAAGGUCCGGCUAACUACGUGCCAGCAGCCGCGGUAAUACGUAGGGACCAAGCGUUGUUCGGAUUUACUGGGCGUAAAGGGCGCGUAGGCGGCGUGGUAAGUCAUCUGUGAAAUCUCCGAGCUUAACUCGGAACGGUCAGAUGAUACUGCUGUGCUAGAGUACAGAAAGGGCAAUCGGAAUUCUUGGUGUAGCGGUGAAAUGCAUAGAUAUCGUCAAGAACACCGAUAGCGAAGGCAGCUUACCAAGCUGUAACUGACACUGAGGCACGAAAGUGUGGGGAUCAAACAGGAUUAGAUACCCAGGUAGUCCCUGAGCGGGCUGGCAAGGCGCAU
rnacentral:rRNA from 1 species